GUAGGGUGCGAGCGUUAAUCGGAAUUACUGGGGCGUAAAGCGUGCGCAGGCGGUUGUGCAAGACAGAUGUGAAAUCCCCGGGGCUCAACCUGGGGAAUUGCAUUUGUGACUGCACGGCUAGAGUGUGUCAGAGGGGGGUAGAAUUCCACGUGUAGCAGUGAAAUGCGUAGAGAUGUGGAGGAAUACCGAUGGCGAAGGCAGCCCCCUGGGAUAACACUGACGCUCAUGCACGAAAGCGUGGGGAGCAAACAGGAUUAGAUACCCUGGUAGUCCACGCCCUAAACGAUGUCAACUAGUUGUCGGGUCUUAAUUGACUUGGUAACGCAGCUAACGCGUGAAGUUGACCGCCUGGGGAGUACGGUCGCAAAGAUUA
rnacentral:rRNA from 1 species